rnacentral:rRNA from 1 species
AGAGGGUGCGAGCGUUAAUCGGAAUAACUGGGCGUAAAGGGCGUGUAGGUGGAAACAUAAGUCAUAGGUGAAAUCCCCGGGCUCAACCUGGGAACUGCCUGUGAAACUGUGUAUCUAGAGUACGAGAGAGGAAAGUGGAAUUUCCGGUGUAGCGGUGAAAUGCGUAGAUAUCGGAAGGAACACCAGUGGCGAAGGCGACUUUCUGGCUCGAUACUGACACUGAGGCGCGAAAGCGUGGGUAGCAAACAGGGAUUAGAUACCCUGGUAGUCCACGCUGUAAACGAUGAGAACUAGGUGCUGGUUAGUUUAUCUAAUCGGUGCCGUAGCAAACGCGUUAAGUUCUCCGCCUGGGGAUACGGCCGCAAGGCUA